UUUGAUUGGUCAUUUUGGGCCCUUUGUGGAAUUGAUGAAAAGACUGGCUAUCCCGAGAUACACCUAUCUGCCUCGCUCCUUCCAGCCUGCUUUAUCAGACCCAGAUUCUCCCUAUUGAAGUGAUCUUAGCAUCUCUCCUCAGGGGAGUUUCAUUAAAACUGAAAGUUUUGGCUUACGGAGCUGGAAAGAAAAGGUGAGAGAUGAGGCAGGCGUUCUCGGCUUCUCUGCAAGGCUUGGUCUUCCUAGCGACCGCCCACCCUGAACAUCUUAUUAGGAAAACCGGCUACUCCUGCCAUCCGGAAAAUGCCCAGGCUGUAGGAGCUCUGAGUGAGAACCGACAACAAAGAGUGAGACACAGGUUGCUCGUUAGCAGGUACAACACAGAUUUAAACUAUAGAACUUCUUUUUUUAACUUUUAAAAGAAAAUAUUUUUCAUCAAAGUAGAAUCUCAUCACUUUGCCAGCUAUUCUCUUUUAAAUCACUCUCACUCUGAAAUUGAAAGUCUCCUUUUCCUUGGUUAUUAUUGCUCUCUCUCUC